rnacentral:rRNA from 1 species
AGAGCGAACGCUGGCGGCAGGCCUAACACAUGCAAGUCGAACGAACUCUUCGGAGUUAGUGGCGGACGGGUGAGUAACACGUGGGAACGUGCCUUUUGGUUCGGAAUAACUCAGGGAAACUUGUGCUAAUACCGAAUGUGCCCUUCGGGGGAAAGAUUUAUCGCCAUUAGAGCGGCCCGCGUCUGAUUAGCUUGUUGGUGAGGUAAUGGCUCACCAAGGCUACGAUCAGUAGCUGGUCUGAGAGGAUGACCAGCCACAUUGGGACUGAGACACGGCCCAAACUCCGUACGGGAGGCAGCAGGUGGGGAAUCGUUGCGCAAGUGGGACGAAAGGCCUAGACCGCGAGCCAUCGCCGGCGUGUAUGGA